UUUGACAAAAUGAACACUCAUUAAAGUGGUCUGGUCAUGGUCCAAAAUAAAUAUGUUACUUUGGCGAAGCUUCUCACAUUAUAGCAUUUACUAAUUCGAACGUAACUAUGAGCUUAAUAUAGAAAGCUAUCUCAAUUAUUGAUUAUGUUCUAAAUACAUAUUAAUCUAAACUGUGACACCCAAAAUACAUAUUUUGGGUCGACAAUAAGACCUUCGUGGCAAGGAACGAUAUGUCAAGAAAAAAAGAUGCCUCUUCACCUAAAUUUUGAAUAUGUUAUGGAAGACCAGGGAGAGUGGGAUGCCAUCAAAUUGUGCUGGAGAUGUUUAACUCGACCAUCUGUCACAUAGAAAGCCACAUAUUUGACACAGAAAGGCGCAUAUAUCUACAAGAACAAUUAACAAUUUAACCACCGUUAUAGUCGCUGACCUUCAUAACUAAUGCUAGCUACAGCCUACAGGAAUUGCAUUUACGUGUAUAGACAUUUAAAAGUAUCAAAGCUUUACGCGUGGAGGUUGUUUGGUUGUCUGUCGUAAUAUUAUUACUCUCUCGAGAAGGACAUAUUAUCAUGGGUCCAGUGAGACCAUUCCACAUACAUUUAGUAAUAUCAAUUCUUUUGCACCUAGACCCUUAAAAAAAGAAAAGAAAACAUAUUCUACUAGGUGCGGUGCAAAAUGCCGACACCUUACAUUUUGAUCCUUGGCUUCUCCGCUGGAGGUUAUUAUCAGCUGGAAAUAAACAAAAUUAUCUCCUUAAUUUUUAUUUCUAAAAUAUCGUUAGACAUAUAUUCGUGAAAUAUCUUAUUUUAAUAAUAGGUUCGUCCCGAACAAUCUAGAGAGCAGGGCAGGGCGCGUUACCGGAUGGACGUGUAAACCUCAUCCAAAGACCCGCUUCACGGCGCCGCCAGCCGAUCAAAGCUACGUAGCUUCACGUACCGGAUUGACUGAGCUACAACUGUACCAUAAAUAAAUAAAUAAAAAAACAAAUCGAAUUUUGUGGUACCACUUCUGGUCAACACUUCCAGAAGUUCCUUCCUUCGAAUUCCAUUGUUUUUCAUAUCAGACCACACCGAAAAGAGGCCAAUAAUAAUAUAGACGUGCAAGCCAACAACGGGAGUAUCAAGAAAAGACAGAUAUCUCACAUCCUGGUCCCGGAAAUGCCUCAUGUCCCUCCGAACCUUUCUUUCUUAUUUCGAAAAUGCAUAGGUAAACUCAAAAAUUUCACUCAUCGAUCCCUUUGAAUUGUGCCCCACGUGACCGGUGGAAGACGUUCGCGUGACCAUCUCAAGUCAUUUUUCUCGAGUUGCCUUUACUUUUCCUGGUUCCACGAUGGGCCCACACCUGGACCCAUUUUCCAUCAUCACGUCACCAACAUGUCCUCAUUACCGCUGUUGAUCAGACGGUCCGCCUACGACCUAGCGCAUCAACCUACAAUUGGUCACCUGAAAACGCGGAUCAAAAAUAAGACCGGCGG
rnacentral:lncRNA from 1 species